rnacentral:rRNA from 1 species
GUGCCAGCAGCCGCGGUAAUACGUAGGUGGCAAGCGUUGUCCGGAUUUAUUGGGCGUAAAGCGAGCGCAGGCGGUUCUUUAAGUCUGAUGUGAAAGCCCCCGGCUCAACCGGGGAGGGUCAUUGGAAACUGGAGAACUUGAGUGCAGAAGAGGAGAGUGGAAUUCCACGUGUAGCGGUGAAAUGCGUAGAUAUGUGGAGGAACACCAGUGGCGAAGGCGACUCUCUGGUCUGUAACUGACGCUGAGGCUCGAAAGCGUGGGGAGCAAACAGGAUUAGAU